AUGACGUGCGCCGAAGACGUAGGUGUAGACGGUGAACAAAGAGGAGCCCCACGGUGGAUGUGGCGCCCCGGGCACGCCCGCGUCGGGCCCCGGCGCGACGCCCCGCACCUCCGCUCGACUCCCCGCACCCGGGCAGCCCCGGCGGGGCGAAGCGAUAGGGCCGACCGCGGAGUGGAGUCUCCAUCCACGGUUGAGGACCAGGAGACGGUGGAGGCCGUGGGGAGGCUGGGUAGAGGCUGGGGAGGGCCACCGAACGAGGCUGCGGAGGAGGACGACGGCAGCGCGGGAGGACACGCCGAGGGGAGGCCGCGGCCCCUCCGACAGGCGGGAGCCCCGCUCCCGGGGAGCCCGCAGCUUCCUCCAUCUUGGUGGAUGCAGGCGGGGAGCGGCGUCUGGGUGUGUGCCCUGUGGCGCCCGCCCCAGGGGCCCCUCGGACGCACACGCUGGAAUCAGGGGCUGUGCCCUCGGCCGAAUGGCGGAGCCCAGUUGGGGCUUCGCGGGGCCAAGUUUCCCAGCCCCACGGGCUUUGGUUUUGAAUUGGUCCCAAGUUCCCACAGCAGUCCCGACAAAAUGGAGGACGUCGUCUCCUCCUACAGCCGUGACGGGAGGUGGGGGGACAAUUCCCCACGGGCUGAGGCGACGGUGGAGGUGCUCCCACCCCCUCAGCGCACGCGGGAACCCCCUGCGCGCGCUGCCCCGACCUCCCGCCGUGCCUCGCUGCGGCCCCUGCCCGGGCGCGGCCCUCCCGGGGGGCGUCACGCACUGGACAGGGAGGGCGCCGAGGACAUCGAGGCCGCGUCUCUCCUCAGGCAGGGUCGCUGGGAGCGGCUCCAGGGGCCCGGGCGCCCAGGCCCGAGUCAGGGUAGGCGGCCACGGCCCCGGUGUCGGGCCGUCCCGGGCCCUGGAGGGCACCCCGAACCCCCAGGGAGCGAGCCGGCGGCUGGGGCAGCGGGCAGCGGGCAGCGUAACUCGGGCUGCCUGACCCUGACGGACCCGGGGGUGGGGGCGGGGAGGGAGGCGGGGGUAAGGAGGGGAGGGGACGCGGCCGAGGGCCGAGCGCCGGCGGAGGGGGGAGUGGAACGGCAACGCCGGGGGGCGUGGCCCGCGCCUGACGGACAGCCCUUCGGACCACCCCCCCGAGGGGGGUCCUGA
rnacentral:lncRNA from 1 species